UGCCAGCAGCCGCGGUAAUACGGAGGGGGUUAGCGUUGUUCGGAAUUACUGGGCGUAAAGCGCACGUAGGCGGACUUCUAAGUUAGAGGUGAAAUCCCAGGGCUCAACCCUGGAACUGCCUUUAAUACUGGAAGUCUUGAGUUCGAAAGAGGUGAGUGGAAUUCCAAGUGUAGAGGUGAAAUUCGUAGAUAUUUGGAGGAACACCAGUGGCGAAGGCGGCUCACUGGACUCGAUACUGACGCUGAGGUACGAAAGUGUGGGGAGCAAACAGGAUUAGAUA
rnacentral:rRNA from 1 species